rnacentral:rRNA from 1 species
CGAACGAUUAAGACUCUCUUCGGAGAGUGUAUAAAGUGGCGCACGGGUGAGUACACGUAGGUAAUGUACCGAAGGUGGGGAAUACUUAGGGAAACUUAAGCUAAUACCGCAUAAUGCAGCGGCUCGACAUCGAGACAGAUGUUAAAGGAGCAAUCCGCCUUUUGAGCAGCCUGCGGCAGAUUAGCUAGUUGGUAAGGUAAUGGCUUACCAAGGCUACGAUCUGUAACCGACCUGAGAGGGUGGUCGGUCACACUGACACUGAAUAACGGGGUCAGACUCCUACGGGAGGCAGCAGUCGGGAAUUUUGGGCAAUGGGCGAAAGCCUGACCCAGCAACGCCGCGUGAAGGAUGAAGUAUUUCGGUAUGUAAACUUCGUAAGAAUAGGAAGAAUAAAUGACGGUACUAUUUGUAAGGUCCGGCUAACUACGUG